rnacentral:lncRNA from 1 species
UCGAAUGCUACCAUCACCUACUUCAACUUCAUGGACGAGAAGUUUGGAGCCAUUACCAUCUCACUCCCACAGAUUGCUUCAUCGCGUACUUGUGGAUUGAAUGAAAUGCAAAGUGCACUGUUGGGAAAGCUAGUUAUAAACUACUGUCCACGGAAUUUCGUAUACGAUGAGGUCAACAAGAUCUUUAUGAAAUAUAAUCCUUAUUUGGAUGAGAAGAAGGAUGAGAGGGUUGCCUUAGUUGAUGCAAAAAAAACUUCAAUUUUCAUCUUAGCAACAACGAGCCUUAUUAGAGCUUCCAGCUCUUUGA